GGCGGGGACCCCACAGACCGCCGGCGGCAGCGCGUGGCCGCACCCCCGGGCAACGGUCUGUGGACGGCUGGCUCUAUAGGCCGGGCUGGUUACCCUGGCAACCAACACCGCGUGCGGCGGCGCCUCCAGCUCGUCUAGUGCCGCCCAAACUCUCUCCCCCUCCCCCAUCGCCGUCGGCCGUGGUGCCCCCACCCCCCCGUGAAGGGACCUGCUGCGGGCGAGCAAUGGAGAAUACAACUUCAAGUAUAGAAUCUGAAUACAUCAAGAACCUCCAGCAACAAAUCUACUUCCUUGAACUGGAAGCCAAUUUUCUGCGUGAACAGACGAAAAAAGCCACUAGUCUUCAACCCCGCAUUACCUCUGAAACUGAACACUUGCUUCAAAAGCUACAGGUACAUUUUUCCAGUUAUACAACUUUAUUUUCAUGCGAACAACUCUGUGUUCCAUUCUGUUUCUAUCAAGUACUGUAGCUUUUUUGCACUUUGGGUUUUUUUUGUCUUUUGGGUUUUUUUUGUAAAUAAAGUGAAUUAUUGUGUCGACUUGAAAUAGCA
rnacentral:lncRNA from 1 species